AUGAACGCUGGCGGCGUGCCUAAUCCAUGCAAGUCGAGCGAACGGACGAGAAGCUUGCUUCUCUGAUGUUAGCGGCGGACGGGUGAGUAACACGUGGAUAACCUACCUAUAAGACUGGGAUAACUUCGGGAAACCGUAGCUAAUACCGGAUAAUAUUUUGAACCGCAUGGUUCAAAAGUGAAAGACGGUCUUGCUGUCACUUAUAGAUGGAUCCGCGCUGCAUUAGCUAGUUGGUAAGGUAACGGCUUACCAAGGCAACGAUGCAUAGCCGACCUGAGAGGGUGAUCGGCCACACUGGAACUGAGACACGGUCCAGACUCCUAAGGGAGGCAGCAGUAGGGAAUCUUCCGCAAUGGGCGAAAGCCUGACGGAGCAACGCCGCGUGAGUGAUGAAGGUCUUCGGAUCGUAAAACUCUGUUAUUAGGGAAGAACAUAUGUGUAAGUAACUGUGCACAUCUUGACGGUACCUAAUCAGAAAGCCACGGCUAACUACGUG
rnacentral:rRNA from 1 species